ACGUGUUCUCUCGGAGAAGAAGGGGGAAGCGGCCCGGGAGAGACUUUUUAUAGUCCGCCCAGCACCGCGAGAUUACCCCUGGGCCUCGCGAGCGCGCCGAGCGCCAGGAGACAGCCUGUGAUUAGCUGGGCCGUUCCCGGCCCUUGCCGCGCGCUGUGUGCGCAUGUGCGUCCUGCCCGGCCGCGGCCCAGGCCCCACGUGACCGGAAGCGUGCUAUAAAUACCCGCGCCGUGGCCGCGCCUCUCUCUGCGGCUGCUGGUGGUGUGGGCUCUUCUGGUCCGAACUCCCGAUGACCUCGAGCCUGAGCCCACGUGUCCAGGACCGCGAAGGUGGGGGUGGUCUGGCUGUCCCCGUUUCUAAAUAAACCUGUUUAUCUGA